GUUCUCACAAUUUUCUUUUCUUUCUACAAUAGUAGUGAGUGCUUUCAGCUGCAGAGUGAAUUUUUUAGUUUUAAAUCAUGGAAUCUAGAAAUGGGUACACAUAUGCUCUCAAAUUCAAUCUUUGAACUCUAUUAACUAUAGAUAAUAAACAAGCAAAAGAAUAGACAAAAAAGAUGUC